CAUGGAGAACAGCUUCUUUUCAUCCACCUAGUCCCAUUCCAUCUCCUUAGUGAACAUCUGCUGUAGGGACCUGCAGUCUCUGUUUAUGGCAAGGACUUUCUGAAUAUUGAAUCAUCUUUCACAUUCUACAGAAGUCACAGAAGCCAACACACAACUCCAGAGUUAAACAUAUUAAACCCCUGUCAUCAGAGAGAACUUUCAAAAAAUCUUGAGAUGGGACCCAUUGGCUCAGACUGAGUCAGAUGUCUACCCUUGGACCAAUCAACUGUGGUCUCUGUGAAUGUAGGCUACUAUUAUUGCCCUAUUUGAGUUUUCUUCCCACUCAUGAGCCAAUCAACUCUAGACAGAAAAGGGAAUGAUCUGAAGCUUGGAAGUUCUCACAGGAACCCUAUAAAUGAAGAAGAGGACAGGACAUGUUUUAAGACAAAGAAAAACGCUAUGCAACCAAAAUACAUCUACUACAAUAACAGUGAUUAUUAAAAAGUCAUUUAAUUUC